rnacentral:tRNA from 3 species
GGAGGUGUCUGUGCGCCUGGUGGGCUCCGCCGCCUUCAAAGCGGUUGAGACGAGUGAACCUCGUCUGGCGGGUUCGAUUCCCGUCCACCUCCGCCA